UAUAUUUCCCGCUUCAUUUUAGAAAUUGCGCAACUCUUCUGCGUCUCAACUCCCAGAAAUCGGAGACGAGCAUGGAACCCUCACGCUCUGCUAAUUCCGGUUCCAAUUCUAAACGAACCUCAAAUUCAAAUCGCAGUAACAGCAGCAAUCAAAGCAACAAGAAGAAGAAGGCGAGUCAAAAGACCCUAGGCAUGGCCUGGGGUGCCAAUUCUCGUUCUGCUUCUCGUCCUGCCUUCUAUAGUUCACCUUUCUCCAAUUUCGGAAGUUACAUGGCCGUGAAGAAUCAGAAGCUUCACGAGCAGUUUGAGGUGGAGGCAUCAAGCACUUCUCUCAGUGGUCCAAGUUCUUCAAAACCUAUAUUUCAGGGCGUAUCCAUUUUUGUUGAUGGAUACACGGUUCCUUCCAGUCAGGAACUUCGAGGAUAUAUGUUGAAGCAUGGAGGCCGUUUUGAAAAUUAUUUUUCUAGGCGUCGUGUUACUCAUAUAAUCUGUAGUAAUCUUCCUGACAGUAAGGUCCAGAAUUUAAGGUCCUUUAGCAGGGGACUUCCAGUAGUCAAACCCACAUGGGUGUUGGAUUCUGUCUCUGCAAAGAAGCUUCUGAAUUGGGUUCCUUAUCAGCUUGAUCAGCUUGCAAGUGAAGUUAAUAACCAGCCUAAGCUAUCUGCUUUCUUCACAAAAAACAUUGCUAUUUAUGAUGAUAUGACAACAUGUUCAACUGUCCAAGCCACAUCUAGAGUUGAGAGCCCAUUGUCAUAUUCUGGACCAAUUGAAGAUCCUGUAUCCUUUGAAGAGUCGCAAUCUGCAGAAGAUUUGGAGCCUCGUGCUCUAGAAUCUAAAGAUCUAAUGCAAGCAAACUACAAUGUAGAUAGAAUCGAAGAGUCAAGUUGUAGCAUGGCAAUGCAAGAACUGAGUGAUGCUGCAAGUGGAGAUGGAAGCCAAGCUCCAUUUUCAGCACCUUUCAGUCCUCAUAACGAUGCAUCAGUUUGUAGCGACUGGAUGAGUGAUCCUGUUAACACGGCCCCAUCAAAUUUAAAGAUUCCUAGGUCUCCUAAUCAGCGACAUUCAACUCUAGUUGAUGCUAAUUUUGUGGAAAAUUACUUCAAGCAUUCUAGGUUGCAUUUCAUUGGCACCUGGAGAAACCGGUAUCGUAAAUGAUUUCCUAGCUCCCCUGGUGGGUUUAGAUGCAUAAGUUCAGGCCCUAGUUCUUCAGCAACAGCAAAUAAGACAAUGAUUAUUCAUGUGGAUAUGGAUUGCUUUUUUGUGUCUGUGGUCAUUAGAAAUCGCCCCGAGUUGAAGGAUAAACCUGUUGCCAUUUGCCAUUCAGAUAAUCCACGCGGAACAGCAGAAAUAUCUUCAGCCAAUUAUCCUGCUAGGGGUUAUGGAGUUAAGGCUGGAAUGUUUGUCAGAGAUGCCAAGUCACGUUGCCCUCACCUAGUCAUUCUUUCUUAUGACUUCGAGGCUUAUGAGGAGGUUGCUGAUCGGUUUUAUAACAUAUUGCACAAGUACUGCAACAAAGUGCAGGCCGUAAGUUGUGACGAAGCAUUUUUAGAUGCCACUGAUUCUGGAGUAGAGGAAAUUCAAGCUUUUGUCUCAGUGAUCAGAGAUGAGAUUCUUGAUGCGACAGGCUGUACUGCUAGUGCUGGUAUUGCUGAGAAUAUGCUUAUGGCGCGGCUUGCUACUAGGAUUGCAAAACCAGACGGGCAGUGUUACAUCCCUGCCGAGAAGGUGGAGGAGCACCUGUGUGAACUUCCAGUAAAAGCACUUCCUGGAAUCGGUCAUGUGUUGGAAGAGAAGUUGAACAGGAGACAAAUCACAACUUGUGGGCAGCUGCGUAUGAUUUCCAAGGAAACUCUCCAGAGGGACUUUGGUUCUAAAACUGGCAGUAUGCUAUGGAACUAUAGUAGAGGGAUAGAUGAUCGGUUGGUUGGCAUGAUACAGGAAAGCAAAUCCAUUGGUGCAGAUGUUAACUGGGGCGUGAGGUUCAAGGAUCUGAAAGACGUACAACAUUUUCUGUUAAACCUUUGCAAGGAGGUUUCAUUACGUUUGCAGGGAUGUGGAGUGAUAGGGAGGAAGUUUACCUUAAAGAUAAAGAAAAGAAAGGGUGAUGCAGGGGAGCCAGUAAAGUAUUUGGGCUGUGGUGUAUGUGAUAACUUGAGCCAUUCUGUCACGGUGCCAAUGGCAACAGAUAGUGUUGAUGUGCUUGAGAGAAUUGUUUCACAGCUUUUUACGACUUCACACGUGGAUGUGGAGGACAUACGAGGCAUGGGAUUGCAGGUCUCAAAGCUUGAAACUGCGGAUAGUUCCAAGCAAGGGAAAGAGAGAUGCUCCAUCAGAUCUUGGCUCACUGCUGCCUCUGCUAAGACCAAUUACCAAAACAGAAGCAGUAGUCAUGAGAAAGGUGCUGAUGCAGAUAACGGUAAAAACAGUGUUCAUGAACGCCAGGCUCAGUUGCAGGGUGAUUCAAGUACACCUUUCAUUGAAAUGACUGCAACGUCGCCCUCCGGUGCUGCUGGUUUUGGACAGAGAGGAACUCUUCCUCCUAUGAACGAGCUUGAUAUAGGAGUAAUAGAGUCUCUUCCUCCUGAGGUCUUUUCAGAAAUUAAUGACAUGUAUGAUGGAAAAUUGGCUCAUUUUAUUACUGAAAAGAGAAGCAAAGGUGUAUCAGAAAAAGAAAACAUAUCUUCUGUUUGCCCUGCUGCACAGGAUGAAGUUUUUGCUGCUCAUGAGCAUAAUGAAGAGGAAAUCCAAGCGGUCUCUUAUCCUAAUAAGCUUUUUGCUGAUAUGAAAAGUGGGACACUGUCUGAUGCUAGUGUACCAAAUAUGGAUGUGGUUAUUAAUGCUCUUGUCUCAGGAGGUAUCAGUCUAAUGCCCUCUUCUCUAAGUCAAGUAGACACCUCGGUUUUUCAGGAAUUACCUGAGGAGUUGAGGGCAGAUAUACUUGAACUCCUUCCUGCACACAGGAACAAUGAAUCUUCACUAGAUGCUUCCUUGGUCUGUGCUAAUAAUCAGAACUGUAGUCCUUCUAUUUCAAGCAUUGAUUUGUGGGUUGGAAAUCCACCUGAAUGGAUUGACAUAUUCAAAGCCAGCAAUUGUCAGAUUUUGUGCGUUUUGGGAGAGAUGUAUCAAAGCGCAGGGGCAAGGAAACAGUUAUCCUCUAUAUUGCAGAGGACUAUGUCUCAGAUUUAUAUUCUCCCUGAUGUCGGCACUGACGGAUGGGUCGAGGCUGUUAGUUUCUUAAGCGAGCUUAUCAAGCAGUAUCUAAAAUUAAAAAUUUCAACUGAUAUUGAAGAGGUUUAUACUUGUUCUUGCCUUUUAAGAAGGUUAACUGCAAGGUCAAAAGUUUUCAUAGAAGUUUACAACAACUUGCUUCCUCAUUUUCAGGCAUUGGUUAGUGAGAACUAUGGUGGCAGCUUUUACAUGGCUUCUGUGACAGAGUGAUGUGUGGCAUGCCUUCUUUGCCAAGAAAAAAGUGUCAGGUGUGUGCUGUCAAGAAAACUGGUUGAUGGAAAACAGUGCCUGUAUGUCCUUGACUUGCUCGAUUCUUCUGUUUAAGGAUAUUUUUAUCUGCCUUUAAAAAGGAGUCCUAGGAGUCUGCAUUUCUCUGUACUUUGGCAUUAUUGAUCAGGCCUAACUACACUGUAAAUACUGGUUGGAGUGAGGAGCAGUUUCCAUGGUUGUGGAUUGCUCAGAAGCAGUGUUGGGGCAGACAAAUGCUUGUUGCAAAGCUCAUGGGUGACCUAAAUUAAGUGCUAGAAGGAUUGCUCUAGAGUUCAUUGGAUGUUACGUAACUUAUUGACCUCAUAUCACUGCUACACGUAAACAUUAUUAUCCAUACCGAAGGUAGAUAUUAUGUGUUGACUCAGGUGAAACUUUGUUUACAUGAAAAACGGUGGCCUGUCAUGGUCGCAACUCGUAAUUGAAGCAUAUAUGCAAGGGUCAGCCAUCACCUGGUCUGACCAUGAAAAUGAAAGAAUACACUCGUGCUCAAAUCUACUUUGCCAAUGCAUUUUUCAGCGUGCUGUAUAUGUUAAACAGUUGAAACCGUACUGUUGGUUUACAAAUUUUUUGAUUUAUAAUUACAUAUGUCGGGAAGGGUGGAGAUAGGAUUCCAACUUUAUGAAUUUUGAAUGUUAGGUUAAAGCACGACUUCAAGUGCUAAUAUAUGAGUUAAAUUUAAGGGAAAAGAACACUAUGCCCCCCAAAAAAUAUUUAUCCUUAAAUGUUCAAUUAUUUUCAUAUCUUUUUUUUAAUUUUAAAUUUGUGUAUCAAAGAGUAAUUGAGCAGUGUCUUCAUUGAA